GGACUACGCGGGUAUCUAAUCCUGUUUGAUCCCCACGCUUUCGUGCCUCAGCGUCAAUCGUUGUGUAGUAAGCUGCCUUCGCAAUUGGUGUUCUAUGUCAUAUCUAAGCAUUUCACCGCUACAUGACAUAUUCCGCUUACCUCCACAAUAUUCAAGACAAAUAGUAUCAACGGCAGUUUCCGGGUUAAGCCCGGAGAUUUCACCACUGACUUACCUGCCCACCUACGCACCCUUUAAACCCAGUGAAUCCGGAUAACGCUUGCACCCUCCGUAUUACCGCGGCGGCUGACAC
rnacentral:misc_RNA from 1 species